rnacentral:rRNA from 1 species
GACGAGCGCUGGCGGCGUGCUUAACACAUGCAAGUCGAACGCGCCUGUCCUCUGGGUUUCUGGGGGGUGGGUGAGUGGCGAACGGGUGAGUAACACGUGAGUAACCUGCCCCCUUCUUCGGGAUAACGGUCUGAAAGGGCUGCUAAUACCGGGUAUUCACUGGUCUCCGCAUGGGGUCUGGUGGAAAGGUUUUUUUCUGGUGGGGGAUGGGCUCGCGGCCUAUCAGCUUGUUGGUGGGGUGAUGGCCCACCAAGGCUUUGACGGGUAGCCGGCCUGAGAGGGUGACCGGUCACAUUGGGACUGAGAUACGGCCCAGACUCCUACGGGAGGCAGCAGUGGGGAAUAGUGCACAAUGGGCGCAAGCCUGAUGCAGCGACGCCGCGUGAGGGAUGGAGGCCUUCGGGUUGUGAACCUCUUUCGCCCGUGGUCAAGCCGCGACGUGGGUCGUGGUGAGGGUAGUGGGUAAAGAAGCGCCGGCUAACUACGUG